GCUGGGCAUGGUGGCGCAUGCCUGUAAUCCCAGCUACUCAGGAGGCUGAGGCAGGAGAAUUGCUUGAACCCAGGAGGCGGAGGUUGCGGUGAGCCGAGAUUGCGCCAUUGCACUCCAGCCUGGGUAACAAGAGCGAAACUCUGUCUCAA
rnacentral:SRP_RNA from 1 species